rnacentral:pre_miRNA from 1 species
AGAUUUUUGUAUCCGGACUGAAAUUUCGUCAGCAACCAAUCCACUAGGGCUGAUGAUGCAAAUUGCUAGAUAAGUGAAAUG